rnacentral:rRNA from 1 species
GACGAACGCUGGCGGCGUGCUUAACACAUGCAAGUCGAACGGAAAGGCCCUGCUUUUGUGGGGUGCUCGAGUGGCGAACGGGUGAGUAACACGUGAGUAACCUGCCCUUGACUUUGGGAUAACUUCAGGAAACUGGGGCUAAUACCGGAUAGGAGCUCCUGCUGCAUGGUGGGGGUUGGAAAGUUUCGGCGGUUGGGGAUGGACUCGCGGCUUACCAGCUUGUUGGUGGGGGAGGGGUUUACCAAGGCUUUGACGGGUAGCCGGCCGGGGAGGGUGACCGGCGUCAAGGGGACUGAGAUACGGACCAGACUCCUACGGGGGGCAGCAGUGGGGAAUAUUGCACAAUGGGCGGAAGUCUGAUGCAGCAGCGCCGCGGGCGUGAUGACGGCCUUCGGGGUAUAAACCGCUUUAGCUUGUGACGAAGCGUGAGUGACGGUAAUGGGUAAAGAAGCACCGGCUAACUACGUG